rnacentral:rRNA from 1 species
AGUACAACGGAGGUGCCUGGGCUGUUGCUGACCUCAAGGUCGUGCACGCCCGGAGCGCUCUCUCACAUCCAUCUCACCCCUUUGUGCAUCAUCGCGUGGGGCCCUCUCCUUUGGCUUGUUCCGGAAGGGGGGGGGUUCACGUUUUUACACGAACAACCCAUUAAUGCAUGUGUAGAAUGUCUUACUUUUGCGGUCACACGCAAUCAAUACAACUUUCAACAACGGAUCUCUUGGCUCUCGCACCGAUGAAGAACGCAGCGAAAUGCGAUACGUAAUGUGAAUUGCAGAAUUCAGUGAAUCAUCGAAUCUUUGAACGCACCUUGCGCCCCUUGGUAUUCCGAGGGGUGCACCCGUUUGAGUGUCGUGAACACCCUCAACCUUCUUGGUUUAUCGACCGGGAAGGCUUGGACUUUGGAGGUUUUUGUUGCUGGCCUCGUUUGAAGCCAGCUCCUCCUAAACGAAUUAGUGGGGUCCGCCGUGCCGACCCUCGACGUGAUAAGUACGCUUCUACGUCUUGGGGUUUCGCACUGUCGCCUGCUUCCAACCGUCUUCGAAUGAAGACAACCUUAUAGACCUUGACCUCAAAUCGGGUG